rnacentral:rRNA from 1 species
AGCAGUGGGGAAUAUUGCACAAUGGGGGAAACCCUGAUGCAGCGACGCCGCGUGAGUGAAGAAGUAUUUCGGUAUGUAAAGCUCUAUCAGCAGGGAAGAAAUACUGACCAUAGGGUCAGCAGACGGUACUUGACUAAGAAGCCCCGGCUAACUACGUGCCAGCAGCCGCGGUAAUACGUAGGGGGCAAGCGUUAUCCGGAUUUACUGGGUGUAAAGGGAGCGUAGACGGCAGCGCAAGUCUGAAGUGAAAUGCCAGGGCUUAACCCUGGAACUGCUUUGGAAACUGUGCAGCUAGAGUGCAGGAGAGGUAAGUGGAAUUUCUAGUGUAGCGGUGAAAUGCGUAGAUAUUAGGAGGAACACCAGUGGCGAAGGCGGCUUACUGGACUGUAACUGACGUUGAGGCUCGAAAGCGUGGGGAGCAAACAGGAUUAGAUACCCUGGUAGUCCACGCUGUAAACGAUGAUUACUAGGUGUUGGGGGACCAAGGUUCUUCG